rnacentral:tRNA from 2 species
GUAGUUUGCAGUUACAGCAGGUGACUAAAGGAAAUCACCAGGUCAUCAGCUCCAACGGCUACUAGCAGGUCGCAGGUUCGAAUCCUGCCGGGGGCACCA